GGCGGCGUAGCUUAGUUGGCUAGAGCGUCCGGUUCAUACCCGGAAGGUCACUGGUUCGACUCCAGUCGCCGCUACCA
rnacentral:tRNA from 1 species